ACUCCUACGGGAGGCAGCAGUAGGGAAUCUUCCGCAAUGGGCGAAAGCCUGACGGAGCAACGCCGCGUGAGUGAUGAAGGGUUUCGGCUCGUAAAACUCUGUUAUUAGGGAAGAACAAAUGUGUAAGUAACUGUGCACAUCUUGACGGUACCUAAUCAGAAAGCCACGGCUAACUACGCUGUGCCAGCAGCCGCGGUAAU
rnacentral:rRNA from 1 species